UUAUAUAUAUUGCAGCUCCUCUCCCCACCUUCUCAUCUUCCAUCACAGUCGGCAAAUCUUCUAACAAAUCAAAUCUAAAGGUUGUUGCCAAUCCAACUGUAGUUGCUCCGAUUAAGCCGAUGCAGAAAGGUAGGAGGGAAGCGGAAGCUGCGGUUGAGAAGGCAAGUGCAAAAAAGCAGAAAAAGGAUUUAGCUUUAAAACAAGCUAUGGAGAAAAUACUUCUUCUGAUUCUGAGUAAGGUGGAAAGCAGUGAUGAAGAUUACUUCUUCUGAUUUUGAGGAAGAAUUGAAGGUCAGUAGAUAAAAAUAUCUCUGUAUGUGCAUGCUUGCAAGUUUAUGAAAUUUGAACUAGUACCAUUUAAUGUUGUAUGCUUUUAUUGACCUAGAUUUGAUUUCUUGUAAUGGAUUCUUAGAAAAACCAGUGUUCUUAUAUUUUUUG